GUGUUUGCCUCUGCAGUACAUAUACUAAAAUUGAAGGAAUACAGAGAAGCUAACAUGGUCCCUGUGCAAAGAUAGACAUACAGGCUCAUAAUGUGCUCCAUAUUUUU
ensembl:snRNA U6 U6 spliceosomal RNA